rnacentral:rRNA from 1 species
GACCCCACUGCUAUCGAGAUGGGACUAAGACAUGCUAGUCGUGCGCUUUCUAGCCAUGCUGGAAGCGCGGCACACAGCUCAGUAGCACGUGCUAACCUGCCCUUGGGACGGGAACAACCCCGGGAAACUGGGGCCAAUUCCCGAUAGGUGAAGAUCCCUGGAAUGGGUUUUCGCCCAAAAGACGUUUGGGUCAUGCUUUCAGACGUUGCCCAAGGAUGGGGCCGCGGCCGAUCAGGUUGUUGGUGAGGUAACGGCUCACCAAGCCUUUGACCGGUUCGGGCCGUGAGAGCGGUAGCCCGGAGAUGGGCACUGAGACAAGGGCCCAGGCCCUACGGGGCGCAGCAGUCGCGAAAACUUCGCAAUAAGCGAAAGCUUGACGGGGCCAUCCCGAGUGCCAUCUGCUGAGGAUGGCUUUUACCCAGUAUAGAUAGCUGGGGGAAUAAGGAGAGGGCAAGUCUGGUGUCAGCCGCCGCGGUAAUACCAGCUCUCCGAGUUGUGGGGACGUUUAUUGAGCCUGAAGCAUCCGUAGCCGGCUGUGCAAGUCCCCUGUUAAAUCCAGCGACUAAUCGUUGGCCUGCGGGGGAUACUGCUCGGCUAGGGGGCGGGAGAGGCCGUCGGUAUUCUUGGGGUAGGGGUGAAAUCCUAUAAUCCCAGGAGGACCACCAGUGGCGAAGGCUGUCGGCUAGAACGCGCCCGACGGUGAGGGAUGAAAGCUGGGGGAGCGAACCGGAUUAGAUACCCGGGUAGUCCCAGCUGUAAACGAUGCAGGCUAGGUGUUAGGGCGGCUACGUGCCGCUCUAGUGCCGCAGGGAAGCUGUUAAGCCUGCCGCCUGGGGAGUACGGUCGCAAGGCUGAAACUUAAAGGAAUUGGCGGGGGAGCACCACAAGGCGUGAAGCUUGCGGUUUAAUUGGAGUCAACGCCGGG